rnacentral:lncRNA from 1 species
GUGACUGCUUUGCAUUUUUCUCAAGGGCAGGAAAAUCGGAUCUGUAUUCUGCUUGUCAGGCACGCUGUGCAGAGGGCCACCUUCACUGGGGCUGCUCGGAAGGCCCAGAAGUCUCGGGACCUUGCCGGAUUUUGAUGCACAGCCAUGAGUUCCGAAACCGCUUUCACCAAGCUGACGUUCUGAGAGGCUCCACUAAAGGAAACAGAACGAAACCACUGCGAUGGGGGAGGCUCUGUGGACUGCGGACGCCCUGCCCUCCUCCCUGUGGUCAUCCUCAGGGUGGGGAAGCUCUGCCGUUCACACUGAGAUUUCGCCAAGCGCUCUUCUCGCGUAUCCUGGGGAUCCGCAUGUGAGGGAUCCAGGCUAAGCUAGGGGAAUUGACUGCACUUCCUGCUAUGUUUUGUAAUAGUGGAUCUUAUGCUUUUGAUCCACUUUAGGCCAGAAUGUAAACCAUCAGAUAUGGAAUUGUCUAGCCAAGAAAAAUGAAAAUCAUAUGUUAGUAGCUCCUGGGAGUAGAUUGAAGUAGAUAGAAACGAAGCUGGAGGCUGAAAGGAAUCAUGUUUUUAUCAAGAGGCACGUGAGUUACCCAGGUAGGAGAUCAUCUGAGUGGAAAUCCUCAUAAAGAUGAGGUAUGCGAACGCGUUCUGAGAACGGUGCAGGUGUGCUGUAUAAGCAACAGACACAAAUAAAGACCGUGUGCUUUUUUAGUACGCGUUUACUUAUUUUUGUCUAGCAUUCAUCCCAGUACUCCAGGUACAUGAUACAAUUUUAGGAGCGUUCACUUUAACAUUCCAGACUUAGAUUUUCUAACCUCAUUUCCAAUCACGGCUCACAUAGCCUCGGCGGCUGUGGGACCAGAGCCCAGGAAGGCCGGCCAGGAGUCUGCGUCCGCUUGUCCACAAAUGCUGGCAAAUCCCUUCUGGAGCAUUGGGAUGGAAGCCAGCCCUCAUCUGCUCAGGUAAGGUAAGAUAAGUUAUUAUCCAGAGCAGGAGAAGUUUUAGUGUAAGGAGGGCUGCAAUUAGGUUAGGCAAAGGCAGCCCCACACUGUCAGAUAUUUUAUUAGGAACGAA